GGAGAAAUGCCGGAGUGGUCGAACGGGGCUGUCUCGAAAACAGUUGUCCUGCUAUCGCGGGACCGGGGGUUCGAAUCCCUCUUUCUCCG
rnacentral:tRNA from 1 species